rnacentral:rRNA from 1 species
AGUGAACGCUGGCGGUAGGCCUAACACAUGCAAGUCGAACGGCAGCACAGUAAGAGCUUGCUCUUACGGGUGGCGAGUGGCGGACGGGUGAGGAAUACAUCGGAAUCUACUUUUUCGUGGGGGAUAGCGUAGGGAAACUUACGCUAAUACCGCAUACGACCUACGGGUGAAAGCAGGGGAUCUUCGGACCUUGCGCGAUUGAAUGAGCCGAUGUCGGAUUAGCUAGUUGGCGGGGUAAAGGCCCACCAAGGCGACGAUCCGUAGCUGGUCUGAGAGGAUGAUCAGCCACACUGGAACUGAGACACGGUCCAGACUACUACGGGAGGCAGCAGUGGGGAAUAUUGGACAAUGGGCGCAAGCCUGAUCCAGCCAUACCGCGUGGGUGAAGAAGGCCUUCGGGUUGUAAAGCCCUUUUGUUGGGAAAGAAAAGCAGCAGGUUAAUACCCCGCUGUUCUGACGGUACCCAAAGAAUAAGCACCGGCUAACUUCGUG